GCGGGCCGGCGAGGCCGCGCCGCGCUUCGGCUUCGAGACGGUCGAGCGGCAGGCCGAGGCGCUGGCGCAGGCGCCGUUCGACGCGACGGUGCCGCC
rnacentral:tRNA from 1 species